rnacentral:rRNA from 1 species
AAAUUGAAGAGUUUGAUCAUGGCUCAGAUUGAACGCUGGCGGCAGGCCUAACACAUGCAAGUCGAACGGUAACAGAAAGCAGCUUGCUGCUUUGCUGACGAGUGGCGGACGGGUGAGUAAUGUCUGGGAAACUGCCUGAUGGAGGGGGAUAACUACUGGAAACGGUAGCUAAUACCGCAUAACGUCGCAAGACCAAAGAGGGGGACCUUCGGGCCUCUUGCCAUCGGAUGUGCCCAGAUGGGAUUAGCUUGUUGGUGGGGUAACGGCUCACCAAGGCGACGAUCCCUAGCUGGUCUGAGAGGAUGACCAGCCACACUGGAACUGAGACACGGUCCAGACUCCUACGGGAGGCAGCAGUGGGGAAU